rnacentral:tRNA from 1 species
GGCCCCAUAGUUAAAUGGAUAUAACGAGCCCUUCCUAAGGGUUAAUUCUUGGUUCGAUUCCAGGUGGGGCCGCCA